rnacentral:rRNA from 1 species
AGGACGAACGCUGGCGGCGUGCUUAANACAUGCAAGUCGAGCGGGGAUGUUGACUUCGGUUGACAUUCUAGCGGCGACGGGUGAGUAACGCGUGAACAAUCUGUCCCAGACAGGGGGAUAACAGAUGGAAACAUCUGCUAAUUCCCCAUAGUAUUGAUUACAGGCAUCUGUUGUCAAUUAAAGAAUUUCGGAAACGGAUAGGCUCGCGUGACAUUAGCUAGAUGGCGGGGUAACGGCCCACCUAGUCUACGAUGUCUAGGGGUUCUGAGAGGAAGGUCCCCCACACUGGAACUGAGACACGGUCCAGACUCCUACGGGAGGCAGCAGUGAGGAAUAUUGGUCAAUGGUCGGAAGACUGAACCAGCCAAGUAGCGUGAAGGAUGAAGGUUCUAUGGAUUGUAAACUUCUUUUAUACGGGAAUAAAACCACCUACGUGUAGGUGCUUGUAUGUACCGUAUGAAUAAGCAUCGGCUAACUCCGUG